AUUCCUUAGCCUGAACCAAAAGGGGAGGUUGAGAGUUUUAGUCCCACUAGGGACAUAUUGCGGAUAAUGAGUGUGUUUUUGCUUUAAUUUCCAAAAAAAAAAGGAUGAGAAAAUUAUGCACUUCAGAACCAUUGUUAGCUUUUCCUUUUUUUUUUAAUAUUAUAUUUUCUGGUUGCUUGAAGAAUAGGAUAACACGUGCAGAAUGGUUGGCUAGAAUUUUAUUAUGUUUUUCUAUUUCCUUGUGGUUUAAUCUAUAUGUUAGGAUGUGAGGCAGUUAAAUUACUUUAUAUUACAUAUUUUGGAAUAAUUGCUCCCCAAUUCAAAUUUUCUUUGAACUUGUUGGGAACCGAGUUUAUAUCAUUUUGAAAUUUAAUGGAAUAGACAUCAUGUUACCCUGUUAGUAGGGCUUCAUUGUUUUUAGUUGUUUUGAUCAUUUGAGUGGACAUCAAACUAAGAAGUUUCUUGAUUCAUCUCAGUAAUUAUCCUGUUAGUAGGGCUUCAUUGUUUUUAGUUUCUGCCGGUAACAUGUCAACUAGCUACUGUUUUAUAUAUUUUUUAUAUUUGUAUUGAUACAUCAUGAUACUUUUUUGCCAUUUUGUAGACAUUUUGUAGCAGCUUAAGCCGUCAUAAUUGCUGAGAAUUCUCAAACUAUAUGGCAGCAGUUUAUCUGCUGGAAAAACCCAGAAUUAGCGUGGGACUUUCUGAAGCCGCCAUUGAAGCUCAACUGUUUUCGGUUAGGGCUCAGCUAUUGAAGUUCUUGUGGGGCGAUAAGGAAGUGAAGAAGCUGCAGGCCGAGCAGUUUCAAGCCUAUUGAACCGGUCAUUUUUGAAUCUUUCGAAGGGAACACCGUGUUGUGUUGUUGGAGCCUAAUGUGUGCCAAAGUAACAAAACUUGCUACAUAGCCAAUUUGUGGUUCCUUGCCUUGGUAUUAGAGUGAUUUUAAUUCGUGAAUUAAGAGGGAGAUGUCCUUCAUCUUACUGAAAUAAUAAUAGGAUAAUAGUCCAUUUAAUUCGUGAAUUUUAAUUCAUGCUUGCUUGAGCAUAUAAACAUGUAUAUUGUAUAAAAAAAUGUGUAUUAGAGCUGAUCUGAUUUAGCAGCAUGUACAAACCUCAUCUUUUAUUUUUCCUUAAUUGUACAAACCUCUCUUUCCAUCUCCCAACGAAACAUAUUUUCCAUACAUGUGUUUUUAGCACUAGAUAAACAAAUGCAUGUGGUUGAUUAUGAAUCAUAAGGAGCAGCUAUUAAAAGCAUCUGAACUCAAAUGAUGCUGGCCAGCUAACAAUUGAUGUAAACGUCUUUGACUGCAGCAUCAAAGGUUAAUACUGGUCUCUCUCUCUCUCUCUCUCUCUCUCUCUCUCUCUCUAUAUAUAUAUAUAUAUAUAUAUAUUUGCACAUCCAUACAUAUUAAGAGCAAGCUUGUGGAAAGCUCAUAGUCCAAAAAACAUCUAUCCCGAACCAAUUGAGUCCUCACCCUUUGAGCCCAAAGGUUAUGUUUAUGGUUGGGACACCCAACUAUAAAUUAAAAGGGAGGUAUAUUUAUUUGCCGGUGAAAACUUGAAUGAUAGGGUGUAUACAAAAUUGAAGAUAAUGCAUUAUAUACUAAAAUAGCCUUCAAAAAAAAAAAAAAAAAAUUCCAAUUCAUAUUUAUUAAAUAUCUUAUGAUUAAAUCAUGCAUGCGUGACAACCUUUUUCUUUUAUCAAUUUGACAUGGAACUGGCACAUAACCCAAACUUCAUUCUUCGUUAUCAAAGAGAAAAUCAUGUUGUUAAAUAUGGUUAAAUUUGCACAUUAUUUUUAACAUAUAGAAGUCAAAUUCAGUAGCAUGCUCUAUUAAUAUGUAUUUCUUUGCUCAUAUUAUCAUCUCUCCAUUCACUAACAUGCUUAUAAUGAGAUUCGAAUUAUUUAAAAAUAAAUAAAUAAAAAUCCUAAAAUCUGAAUUAAAAACCUUGAUAACAUCUUGUAACAAGUCUUUCAUUCUUUUAUGAAAAAUCCAGGGAUAAAAACACAAUCUCUCACAAAAACACACUCUUUCCCUCUCUUCAUGUGAUGAGUCCGAAUUCAUAUUCGAAGGGCACAUCAUUGUCAUAUUGAGUAUUUAGGGACCUCUGGCGAAAAGAAACCGAUUGGGCAAAGCUACCCAUUUUUGGCUCUCAAACAAGAGAGGCUUCAUUACCAUCUCUCUAGCACGCCUUUUGACCAUUAUGUAUACACACAGUAUCUUUCCUGCACUAAACCCCUCUCUAGCACGCUUCUCCCAGUCUCUAUCUCUUACUCUGCAUAGCACACUACAGCUGCAAAACAGGGGCUGGCCAGAGAACUUCAUUUAUACACACAUAUUAUAGAUAUAUAUUUUACAUCUGUCUACCAUUACACACACACACACACACACACACACACACAAGCUUCAUUACCAUCUCUCUAGCACGCCUUUUGACCAUUAUAUACUCACACAGUAUCUUUCCUGCACUAAACCCCUCUCUCUAGCACGCCUCUCCCAGUCUCUAUCUCUUACUCUGCAUAGACUUUUAGAAUACAAACUUUGGACAUUUUAAAGGUGUUUGGCCAAAGAUCAGGCAACAACAAGGACUCAUUGGCUCAUUGCUCUGCUUCUCACCAUAUUCACCUGCUUGUUAGCUGGUAUGUGAUUUACUGCUUAUUUAAGCUGAAUGAGUUGCUUGUUCUUUGUUUAACUCUGUUGUACAACUAAGCUUCCUCUUUAUAUUAUAUUUUUUUAAUUUUGUUGAGUGGAAAAGAAAACGCCUAUUUAAUUAUUCAUGGGUUCUUCAGAGAAUGCCUUGAAUUAAUUUUCUUGUAUUGUUUAUAUGCUCUCAAGCCAGUUUUCCAGUUGACAAAGACACAAAAGGAACUAUAUAUAUAUAUAUAUAUAUAUAUAUAUAUAUAUAUAUAUAUAUUUAUAUAUAUAUCUGAUUCUCUAUCUACACAC